AUUGAACGCUGGCGGCAGGCCUAACACAUGCAAGUCGAGCGAGCGGCGGACGGGUGAGUAAUGUCUUGUAAACUGCCUGAUGGAGGGGGAUAACUACUGGAAACGGUAGCUAAUACCGCUUCCCAUCCAAUGUGCCCAGAUGGGAUUAGUUAGUCGGUGGGGUAAUGGCUCACCUAGACGACGAUCCCUAGCUGGUCUGAGAGGAUGACCGGCCACACUGGAACUGAGACACGGACCAGACUCCUACGGGAGGAAGCAGUGGGGAAUAUUGCACAAUGGGCGCAAGCCUGAUGCAGCCAUGCCGCGUGUGUGAAGAAGGCCUUCGGGUUGUAAAGCACUUUCAGCGAGGAGGCGUUACUAGCAGAAGAAGCACCGGCUAACUCCGUGCCAGCCGCCGCGGUAAUUC
rnacentral:rRNA from 1 species